AUGAACGCUGGCGGCGUGCCUAAUACAUGCAAGUCGAGCGAACAGACGAGGAGCUUGCUCCUCUGACGUUAGCGGCGGACGGGUGAGUAACACGUGGAUAACCUACCUAUAAGACUGGGAUAACUUCGGGAAACCGGAGCUAAUACCGGAUAAUAUAUUGAACCGCAUGGUUCAAUAGUGAAAGACGGUUUUGCUGUCACUUAUAGAUGGAUCCGCGCCGCAUUAGCUAGUUGGUAAGGUAACGGCUUACCAAGGCGACGAUGCGUAGCCGACCUGAGAGGGUGAUCGGCCACACUGGAGCUGAGACACGGUCCAGGCUCCUACGGGAGGCAGCAGUAGGGAAUCUUCCGCAAUGGGCGAAAGCCUGACGGAGCAACGCCGCGUGAGUGAUGAAGGUCUUCGGAUCGUAAAACUCUGUUAUUAGGGAAGAACAAAUGUGUAAGUAACUAUGCACGUCUUGACGGUACCUAAUCAGAAAGCCACGGCUAACUACGU
rnacentral:rRNA from 1 species